rnacentral:rRNA from 1 species
GACGAACGCUGGCGGCGUGCUUAACACAUGCAAGUCGAACGGAAAGGCCCUGCUUUUGUGGGGUGCUCGAGUGGCGAACGGGUGAGUAACACGUGAGUCACCUGGCCUUGACUUUGGGAUAACUUCAGGAAACUGGGGCUAAUACCGGAUAGGAGCUCCUGCUGCAUGGUGGGGGUUGGAAAGAGUCGGCGGUCGGGGAUGGACUCGCGGCUUAUCAGCUCGUUGGUGGGGUAGUGGCUUACCAAGGCUUUGACGGGUGGCCGGCCUGAGAGGGUGGACGGCGCCAUUGGGACUAAGAGACGGACCAGACUCCUACGGGAGGCAGCAGUGGGGAAUAUUGCACAAUGGGCGGAAGCCUGAUGCAGCAACGCCGCGUGCGGGAUGCCCGCCUUCGGGUUGUAAACCGCUUCCGCCUGUGACGAAGCGUGAGUGACGGUAACGGGUAAAGAAGCACCGGCUAACUACGUG